UGUAAAGGUAUAAAAGAGAACUUCAACAUCCAGAAAGCAACAUUACAGCCUCUUCACUUGUCUCUAAAGAAGCCAACUGAAGGUCAGAUCACUGUAACCAUGCUGAAGGUAGCACUUGUUCUCGGAUGCCUCCUGAGCCUCAUUGUGGCCGAACCUAUGGAGCACCAGCGUUUUGCCCGCUCUGACUCAUCUGAUUCUGAUUCAGAUGAGACCACCACGACCACAACCACAGCAGCAGGCGCUACAACUGCUGCACCUAACCUGAAUGCACUCAUUCUUCAACUACUUCAACAAUUACUUAACCUGUAAUCAUCAUAAUCAAGACCUGCUGUUAACCAGAAUACUUCUGUUCAUCAUUAAUUGGACAAAUAUGAUUGAGAAGUAUCUGUACACUUAACAAUAAAAACCCUUAUUGUGCAAACUCUUC